UGGGGAAUUUUGGACAAUGGGGGAAACCCUGAUCCAGCCAUCCCGCGUGUGCGAUGAAGGCCUUCGGGUUGUAAAGCACUUUUGGCAGGAAAGAAACGUCAUGGGUUAAUACCCCGUGAAACUGACGGUACCUGCAGAAUAAGCACCGGCUAACUACGUGCCAGCAGCCGCGGUAAUACGUAGGGUGCAAGCGUUAAUCGGAAUUACUGGGCGUAAAGCGUGCGCAGGCGGUUCGGAAAGAAAGAUGUGAAAUCCCAGAGCUCAACUUUGGAACUGCAUUUUUAACUACCGGGCUAGAGUGUGUCAGAGGGAGGUGGAGUUCCGCGUGUAGCAGUGAAAUGCGUAGAUAUGCGGAGGAACACCGAUGGCGAAGGCAGCCUCCUGGGAUAACACUGACGCUCAUGCACGAAAGCGUGGGGAGCAAACAGG
rnacentral:rRNA from 1 species